rnacentral:rRNA from 1 species
AUGAACGGCAACGGCGGAGACGGCGGAGGGCACGAGAGCGGCGGAAGCGACCACAACGACAUGCGGAAGCCGCUGCUGGUGAACACAGGGAGCUGGUACAGGAUGGGGUCGAGCCUCACAUCAUCGUCCAUGGCCAUCACGCGCGAGUCCCACGUCUCCGCCUUGCUCUGCACGCUCAUCGUGGCGCUCGGCCCCAUCCAGUUCGGCUUCACCGGCGGCUUCUCCUCGCCGACGCAGGACGCCAUCACCCGCGACCUCAGCCUCUCCAUCUCCGAGUUCUCGGUGUUCGGCUCGCUCUCCAACAUCGGCGCCAUGGUGGGCGCCAUCGCCAGCGGGCAGAUGGUGGAGCACGUUGGCCACAAAGGGGCGUUGAUGAUCGCUGCUAUUCCUAACAUCCUCGGUUGGUUCGCCAUCUCCUUGGCAAAGGACACUACGUUUCUGUAUAUGGGGCGAUUGCUUGAAGGAUUUGGUGUUGGUAUCAUAUCCUACACGGUGCCUGUUUACAUAGCAGAGAUUUCUCCUCAGAACAAGAGGGGCGCUCUAGGCUCUGUGAACCCGUUGUCUAUAACAAUUGGGACGGUGUUGGCCUAUGUGCUCGGCAUGCUUGUUCCUUGGAGGAUGCUUGCGAUGAUAGGAACCUUGCCAUGCACAAUAUUGAUACCUGGCCUAUUCUUCAUUCCAGAAUCUCCAAGAUGGCUGGCAAAGAUGAAUAAGAUGGAUGAUUUUGAAGCCUCUCUACAAGUUUUGAGAGGAUCCGAGACCGAUAUAACCUCAGAAGUGAAUGUUAUAAAGACAGCUGUAGCAUCAGCAAACAAAAGAACGGCAACCCGUUUCCAAGAGUUAAACCAAAAGAAAUUCCGCAUGCCCCUGAUACUAGGAAUUGGCCUGCUUGUACUACAACAACUAAGUGGGAUCAAUGCUAUACUGUUUUAUGCAGGUAGCAUCUUCAAAGCUGCAGGUCUUACAAACAGCAAUUUGGCCGCAUGUGGAGUUGGAGCUAUUGCGCUUCUUGCCACUGGAGUUAUAACCUGGUUAUUAGACAGAGCUGGCCGACGGAUCCUACUUAUUAUCUCUUCUGCUGGGAUGACCCUAAGCCUUCUUGCAAUUGCCGUCAUAUUUUUUCUCAAGGACAACGUUCCACAAGAUUCUGACAUGUACUACAUAUUAAGCAUGGUCUCCUUGUUUGCUAUUGUGGCUUGUGUAAUCACCUACUCCUUUGGUAUGGGCGCCAUUCCAUGGGUCAUAAUGUCUGAGAUCCUGCCGGUUAGCAUCAAGAGCCUGUCGGGAAGCUUCGCGACGCUCGCCAACUGGCUGACCUCCUUUGGGAUAACAAUGACAGCAAACUUGCUGCUAAGCUGGAGUGCUGGAGGUACCUUUGUGUGCUACAUGCUCGUGAGCGCUUUCACGCUUGUGUUCAUCAUGCUCUGGGUUCCGGAGACCAAGGGAAGAACUCUUGAGGAGAUACAAUGGUCGUUCCGCUGA